AGAGUAACUUUUAUCCGUUGA
rnacentral:miRNA from 1 species